UACGUAGGGGUCGAGCGUUGUCCGGAUUUAUUGGGCGUAAAGAGCUCGUAGGCGGUUCGGUAAGUCGGGUGUGAAACCUCCAGGCUCAACCUGGAGACGCCACCCGAUACUGCUGUGACUCGAGUCCGGUAGGGGAGCGUGGAAUUCCUGGUGUAGCGGUGAAAUGCGCAGAUAUCAGGAGGAACACCAGCGGCGAAGGCGGCGCUCUGGGCCGGAACCGACGCUGAGGAGCGAAAGCGUGGGUAGCAAACAGA
rnacentral:rRNA from 1 species